UGUGCGCCUCCGUGUCUUCGAGGCCAUGCAUCGCAUCUCCCGCUGGAUGGCCACGCUCGCUGGAUGCUGAGCACCACACACCCGUCAAGGAGGGACAGCGGAGGCGAGGGCUGCCUGGCUACGCGCUACCGUCCGCUGCCGACAGGAGGGCACCGUUGUAGCCUGCAGGUGUCCGUGCUGCCGGGAGCGCGGGACCGCAGUAGACCACCAUCGUUGUGGCCUUGUGCGGCACUCUGGCUCGCAGGCCAGCGGCCGCGUCACCACGCGAUUGACCGCAGGCCAACGUCGUCGCGUGCUUCGCCGCAGAGGGACGCGGCGAUAGGCGGCGUCAGGGCCAAAGGCGGCAGUGCGCGCUGGGAGCCGUCUCGAAGCCGAUGUCCUCACCGAGGCCAACGACCGUGGGCGCACUUCGGGCUGGGAUCCACUUCCGCUGUCGGAAAGUCGCUCCAGAGGACGCUGGUGCGCCGCGCUCCGGGCCGAGCGCCAUGGCGGGGCUGCUCGCCUCGCGCCGGGUGCGCCGCCAUUGCCGGGUGCACGCUUGGUGGCACUGCCUCACUGCGGGGUGGGGAGCACUGCGCGGGAGGCCUCGCCGGGACGCCGGGUCGCUCUCCAGGUGCAUGGUGGGCGUGAUUGGAAUCGUCGCCUCUGCCCACGUUGGGGCGCCGGGCCUUGUCCGCCGCGUAAAUCCAGGGCAAAAUCCACGGACGCGCUUGUUCCAGCCGUUGCCGCGCCGGACACCGGGAGGAAAAACGUCGAAGCCGAGGGCCUUGGCUGCAGCAGGAGAACCGGGCUGAGGUCGCAGUUGCCGUCCUGGUCUGCCGUCGAGGUGCGCAGCGCCGUGCGCCGCCUGCCAGCGCUGGAGCGCUGGGCUUCCUUCGGCACGCCGGGCCGGAGGGCAUCGUCACGCUGAGUGCUCGCUGCUGCAGACGAGUCUGGCCGUGAAAUCACUCCGCCAGAGAGCGUGCUGAUAACGUGUUAGAAGACUAAAAAGAAACGGAGGGAGUACAACAGAAGCGAACGCGAUACAUAUGUCGGUUUCGGAGGCGACGCUCCAGGAAUAACCGCUAUGACGGUUCCCACGGGGUGGGAUUACAUGUGUCUGACAAGUGGGGAUUAUCCCUUAAUUAAUCUAGGAUUAAUUAUUCU